UAGGGAAUCUUCCGCAAUGGGCGAAAGCCUGACGGAGCAACGCCGCGUGAGUGAUGAAGGUCUUCGGAUCGUAAAACUCUGUUAUUAGGGAAGAACAAAUGUGUAAGUAACUAUGCAUGUCUUGACGGUACCUAAUCAGAAAGCCACGGCUAACUACGUGCCAGCAGCCGCGGUAAUACGUAGGUGGCAAGCGUUAUCCGGAAUUAUUGGGCGUAAAGCGCGCGUAGGCGGUUUUUUAAGUCUGAUGUGAAAGCCCACGGCUCAACCGUGGAGGGUCAUUGGAAACUGGAAAGCUUGAGUGCAGAAGAGGAAAGUGGAAUUCCAUGUGUAGCGGUGAAAUGCGCAGAGAUAUGGAGGAACACCAGUGGCGAAGGCGACUUUCUGGUCUGUAACUGACGCUGAUGUGCGAAAGCGUGGGGAUCAAACAGG
rnacentral:rRNA from 1 species